rnacentral:rRNA from 1 species
CAGUUCGGAUUGAAGGCUGAAAUUCGCCUUCAUGAAGCCGGAAUUGCUAGUAAUGGCAGGUCAGCAUACUGCCGUGAAUACGUUCCCGGGCCUUGUACACACCGCCCGUCACACCAUGAGAGUUGGGAAUACCCGAAGCCUGUGAGCUAACUUUUAGAGGCAGCAGUCGAAGGUAGAAUCAAUGAUUGGGGUGAAGUCGUAACAAGGUAUC